rnacentral:rRNA from 1 species
UGCCAGCCGCCGCGGUAAGACGGAGGGCGCAAGCGUUGUUCGGAAUUACUGGGCGUAAAGGGCGGGCAGGUGGUCUGUUAAGUCGUUUGUGAAAAUCCGGGGCUCAACCCCGUGAAAUGCAAGCGAUACUGGCAGACUGGAGAUCGGUAGAGGCUAGCGGAAUUCCUGGUGUAGCGGUGGAAUGCGUAGAUAUCAGGAAGAACACCGGUGGCGAAGGCGGCUAGCUGGGCCGGGUCUGACACUCAUCCGCGAAAGCGUGGGGAGCAAACAGGAUUAGAUA